rnacentral:rRNA from 1 species
AUGAGGGCUUCUUAUUGCACAAGAACGAAAGCACCUUUCAUUCUUUCAUAUACUAGGGGUUUUUACUUGGAAAAGACAAUGUUCCAUACUAAAGGAUUCGGGUCCAUAACCACGAGUUUCAGUGCACUAGAUCUUGUAGCACUUAGCAACGAAGCCCUAUCCAUUAGUAUUCCACAUAAGAAAUCCAUUCUAGAAAAAAAUACAAUUAGAUUAGCUCUUCAUAGACAAACUUGGGGUUUGUGAGCCAAGGUAAGAUCAGCUCGGGAUCAUGGGACCCUUUUCUAUCAGAUAGGAGGGGCUCUUGUACAAAAUAGAUUACUAAGUAAUAACCCCAUAGAAUCUAUCUAUAUAAAGAUAAAGAGGCAAUUCUGA